UACGAAGGGGGCUAGCGUUGCUCGGAAUCACUGGGCGUAAAGCGCACGUAGGCGGAUCGUUAAGUCAGGGGUGAAAUCCUGGAGCUCAACUCCAGAACUGCCUUUGAUACUGGCGACCUUGAGUUCGGGAGAGGUGAGUGGAACUGCGAGUGUAGAGGUGAAAUUCGUAGAUAUUCGCAGGAACACCAGUGGCGAAGGCGGCUCACUGGUCCGAUACUGACGCUGAGGUGCGAAAGCGUGGGGAGCAAACAGGG
rnacentral:rRNA from 1 species